rnacentral:tRNA from 2 species
GGAGAGAUGACAGAGUGGUCGAUCGUGGCGGUCUCGAAAACCGUUGUACGGGCAACCGUACCGGGAGUUCGAAUCUCCCUCUCUCCGCCA